UUUCAGUUCAGCUUCAAAAGCAUCAUCAAAUAAUGUCAUGAAGCUUCUGGACGUCAGGCUCCAUUGACUGAUAUUGUAGAAACUAGCUGGACAAACUUGAUCAAAAUCAACUUUUGUGUUCAGAAAAAAAAAAAAAAAAAUGAACACAGGGAUUGAACAGCGUGAAGGCAAGUGAAUAAUGACUGAAUUUAUUUGUUUGGGUGAACUAACCCUUUAUGCCCCCAAAUAGAAAUAUGUAUGAAAUGUAUGUAUGCAUUUAUAUUAUAGUAGUACCUUGAAAAAGUAAACUUUAAGAAAUAAACAGCUUGAAUUAGCGUUUGUGCUCGAAACACUAACAAAAAAGGAUUUAAAAAAAAUCUAAUUUACAUUUGGCUGAUGCUUUCAUCCAAAGUAACUAACAGUGCUCUUAUUACAGGGAUGAUCCCGUUGAAGCAACCUGGAGUAAAGUGUCUUAAUCAAGCACAAACUGGUGGAGACGCUGCAGAGCCUUCUGCUGACCAGCUCAGUGGUUUAGACCACUACACCACAAAAUCAUGCUGAUGGAGAGCACACGAAUGUUUGCAGCAGACACAGAUUGUCCCGCACAUCUUCUCCCACUCUUGCUUCAAGGUUGUGUGGUUCAGAGGACCAUCAUCAUGGUCUUCCUCAUCCUCUGGAUCAACGAUGUCCCCAUUGAGAAGAGCAGCAGUGAGGGACAUGAUGAUGAAGGUGUUCAUCAGCUGCUUCAUCAGAAUAAAGCUGCAGAAUCGGCACAGCUGUGUUGAGAUCGCAGCAGGACUGUAAAUACGUGAUUGUUAGAUCAAUACAUUUGAAUAAAGCUUUGUUUCGUGUGUU